CCGCCCCCCCUCCCGGGCCCCCGCCGGCCGCGCCUUACUCUUAAUUUGCAAAGCGGACUGUACGAUCUGAUUAAUCUUGAUAAACAAGUCAAAACUUUCAACAACGGAUCUCUUGGUUCUGGCAUCGAUGAAGAACGCAGCGAAAUGCGAUAAGUAAUGUGAAUUGCAGAAUUCAGUGAAUCAUCGAAUCUUUGAACGCACAUUGCGCCCGGCAGCAAUCUGCCGGGCAUGCCUGUCCGAGCGUCAUUUCUCCCCUCGAGCGCGGUUGGCCCCUAGCGGGCCGGCCGCCGCCCGGUGUUGGGGCACUGCGGGCCACAGCGCCCGCAGGCCCUCAAAUGAAGUGGCGGCCCCGCCGCGGCGCCCCCUGCGUAGUAGUAAAGCACCUCGCAUCGGGUCCCGGCGAAGACCAGCCGUCGAACCUAUCUCUUGAUGGUUGACCUCGAUCA
rnacentral:sRNA from 1 species